UUCUGGUUGAUCCUGCCAGAGGUUACUGCUAUCGAGGUUCGACUAAGCCAUGCGAGUCGAAUGUAGCAAUACAUGGCGUACUGCUCAGUAACACGUGGACAACCUACCCUUAGGAUGGGGAUAAACCCGGGAAACUGGGUAUAAUACCCAAUAGAUCUGGUCUGCUGGAAUGCUUCCAGAUUUAAAACUCCGGUGCCUAAGGAUGGGUCUGCGGCCUAUCAGGUUGUAGUGGGUGUAGUGUACCUACUAGCCUACGACGGGUACGGGUUGUGAGAGCAAGAGCCCGGAGAUGGAUUCUGAGACACGAAUCCAGGCCCUACGGGGUGCAGCAGGCGCGAAAACUUUACAAUGCCGGCAACGGCGAUAAGGGGACCUCGAGUGCCAGGUUACAAAUCUGGCUGUCGCGAUGCCUAAAAAGCAUUGCAUAGCAAGGGCCGGGCAAGACCGGUGCCAGCCGCCGCGGUAACACCGGCGGCUCGAGUGGUAACCGUUAUUAUUGGGUCUAAAGGGUCUGUAGCCGGCCGGGUAAGUCUCUUGGGAAAUCCAGCAGCUCAACUGUUGGGCUUUCAGGAGAUACUGCCUGGCUCGAGGCCGGGAGAGGUGAGAGGUACUUCAGGGGUAGGGGUGAAAUCUUGUAAUCCUUGAAGGACCACCAGUGGCGAAGGCGUCUCACCAGAACGGACCUGACGGCAAGGGACGAAAGCUAGGGGCACGAACCGGAUUAGAUACCCGGGUAGUCCUAGCCGUAAACGAUACUCGCUAGGUGUCGGCCACGGUGCGACCGUGGUCGGUGCCGUAGGGAAGCCGUGAAGCGAGCCACCUGGGAGGUACGGCCGCAAGGCUGAAACUGAAAGGAAUUGGCGGGA
rnacentral:rRNA from 1 species